CCUUGAAUCUUUCUCCUUCUUGAGUCGUGAAGAACUUUCUUAUAUUGAAGAGUUAUAGUGAACAAUAGGAACUGAAGGAAUGAAUUGAGUGGUUGCGAAGUGUUUUCAUUGUAAUUCAGUGAGCUCAAGAAUCUCUGUGGUUCUUUCUUGAAUAAUGGGUUCAAGAAUUCAGAUCUGUUUGCUGGUUGUUUCUGUCCAAAUUUUACUUGUAGCAGCGCUGACGAAUAAUGACUGUGCCUUACAUCACUACUGCUUUGAUGGAUGCGAAGCUUGGCACGGAAGGGCGCAAGGAUCUUUUUGAUUGGCUAUCAAGGCAACUUAGUGGAUUAAGCAAUUUUCCUGAUGCUGUAAAUCUGAAUUAUGUAUUGUUUUAAUUUGUUAUGCUAGAUG